AGGAUGAGCAAAGAAAGUAGAUU
rnacentral:miRNA from 1 species